GACGAACGCUGGCGGCGCGCCUAAUACAUGCAAGUCGAGCGAGAACCGGGACUUCGGUCCCGGGGACAGCGGCGAACGGGUGCGUAACACGUGAGCAACCUGCCCCGAAGACCGGGACAAGCCGGGGAAACCUGGUCUAAUACCGGAUGUCCUCACCGAAUCGCAUGGUGUGGUGAGGAAAUGGAUUCCGCUUCGGGAUGGGCUCGCGGUCUAUCAGCUUGUUGGUGGGGUAACGGCCCACCAAGGCGACGACGGAUAGCUGGUCUGAGAGGACGAUCAGCCACACUGGGACUGAGACACGGCCCAGACUCCUACGGGAGGCAGCAGUGGGGAAUCUUGCGCAGUGGGCGAAAGCCUGACGCAGCGACGCCGCGUGA
rnacentral:rRNA from 1 species